UUUGAUUGGAGUCACAUCGGAUUAUCUCUAUCAAGUGCAAUAGUAGCAAUACCCGGCCAUAGCUUCAGUAUGUAAAAUGCUUGUAGCAUUUGCAAUCAAAAGGUAUCAUCAUCAUUGAGUGGCCUCCGGACAUAGUUCAACUGUUGUUACUCUUUUCGCUAAAGUGAAAUACAUGGUUUUCUGUGAGAACUUAAUUCUUUGAACUUCGAGAUCAUCUACCUUUUUUGGGACACUGCAGGACAUGGUUGAUAAUCAUGACAGUAAACUUUGGUGGAGAUCAAGGCCUGGUUAAAACCAAGUGAGCUUUUGUAGCUAGACUGUUUAAAAUGGAUGAAAUGGGCCAGUUACUGUUAUACAUGAAAUUCUGGACAGGUAGAGAUCAUUUUCAUGAUAUAUGAGUUUUCACUCUGUCUUCCUACUUCAUUGCUGAAACGUGUCAUGGGAAACCUAUUUUAGGGAAACAUAAAACAAUUGUUCUUUUGUUGUGUAUUAUUGCAUCUCAUCUUAGCUUUUAUUCCUCUGUAAACAAAUGUAAGACAUAACGUCUUAUUCUUGUUUACAGAGGGAGUAGAAUAUAUUUUUACAAUCAUCUUCUAUCGGCCAGAUUUCAAGUGUCAUGUUUUCAUAAAGCUGAAUUUUUCAUCUUAGUCCGCUUAAUUUGCAAUGGUUAUUUUACACUUACCACUGGAAAGAUGUUUUCUUUUAAUCAUAUUGUCUCUAGCUGAUCCUCACCUCAUAUCACACCGCAGUUGUCCCUCCUACAUUAGCUCGUUACACUUACUACAAUAACACAGCGGUGGCGGGUACAGGGGCAUUCCGGCGAUCUGUGGACAGACUGGCUUGAGGACGAGCAGGGGCUUUUGAGAGCUGGGGCCGGCAGCUUAGCGGUGAACAGGGAUGACGGUGUAUGGAAGUGGGCUGUGGUGGGCAUGGAACAACAUGGCCCAUGUCGCCUCUUCAUUCAGCUCAACAUGAUGGUCGUUCAUCUGAAAACAAGGUUGGGAUUUGGGAAGACAAUUAUCUGAGGGUGAUUCAGAUUUGAACAUGAAUGCAAAAUACAUCUGCGAUUUGAUUUUUGUACAUGGAAUAAAUUUUGUAUAUUGUGUAUACCUUUCUUCUAUUAGUAGUUUGUAAAUAUCAUGAAUCCAGUCUUAGGCAUAAACAAGUGACAUCUGAGUGGAGAAAGACAGUUCGCCCACUAAUGUGGUGAUGUCAAACAUUUGAAUUGCGUAUGGAGGUUCUUUCAUCGCAAAUAGCAAAGUUUGAUAGGGACUUACUUUAAUCAGCCAUGAAAAAGAUCUGCAGUCCUGAUCCAGAAUUGGCAAAACUGAAUGUCAAAAGCCAGAUAAAGGCAUUGCUUGAUUGCUACAAGAGUUAAUAACAUACACAAUGGCAUAUUAGCUGCAUAUAUGCCCAUGGCAUAUUAGCUGCAUAU
rnacentral:lncRNA from 1 species